GCUCCCAUGGCGUAGUGGUCACUGCGCUCGCCUUGCACGCGGGAGACCCGGGUUCGAUUCCCGGUGGGUUUG
rnacentral:tRNA from 1 species